rnacentral:rRNA from 1 species
CCUACGGGCGGCUGCAGUGGGGAAUAUUGCGCAAUGGGGGAAACCCUGACGCAGCAACGCCGCGUGAGUGAAGACGUAUCUCGGUAUGUAAAGCUCUAUCAGCGGGGAAGAAGGAAGACGGUACCCGACUAAGAAGCCCCGGCUAACUACGUGCAAGCAGCCGCGGUAAUACGUAGGGGGCAAGCGUUAUCCGGAUUUACUGGGUGUAAAGGGAGCGUAGACGGCGUAGAAAGUCUGAAGUGAAAGCCCGUGGCUCAACCGCGGAACCGCUUUGGAAACUGCGUGGCUGGAGUGCAGGAGAGGUAAGCGGAAUGCCUGGUGUAGCGGUGAAAUGCGUAGAUAUCAGGAGGAACACCGGUGGCGAAGGCGGCUUACUGGACAGUGACUGACGUUGAGGCUCGAAAGCGUGGGGAGCGAACAGGAUUAGAUACCCUUGUAGUC